UCAUGCUACCUGGAAGUAUUGAUUUAAUGUAGAAUGUAGCUGGGUGUGCAAAUGAGAAAAUUUCAAAUCCAAUUCAGGAAUAUUUUUCCAGGAGUUUACAAGAAGGGGAAGAAAUUAAGAGAAUACUUGUAUUAUGGGAAGAUGAAGGCUUUAUCUCCAAACAUAGGCUAUACUAUCUAUAGUGUAAUCAAAAGGAGUACAUUGAGAGCAAUGUGGUUUUGUGGGUCUCAGAAGACUUCUGUCAUCUGUUAAGGAUGGGAGGGGGGGUGUUUGUUGUUGUUUACCAAAUGCGAUUUCCAGCUCCUAAAGGUUUAUGAUCACCAAUAUAUAGCUGUGCUGUCCUUACACCUUACUAAGUGUCUGAAAAGAGUGUUUUGAUGCCUUCAUAUAUUUUAGCCAUUUGCUUACAUCUUGUGUUAGGAAAGAGGAGUAGGAAAUGCUUUCAAAUGUCUCUGUUUGGGGGAUCAGGGAAAGUUUGCUUUUAACAACUGUCUUAAAAAACACUGUCACCAGGUUUCAUCAUACAAGUACAUCCCACUUGUGCAGCUGCAGUAAGACAGUUAGUGAUGAAAAAUACCAAGACCCUUUUCAACUUGGUAGAAAAGACUUGAAGAAUCUCUAUGAAGAUAUUAAAAAGGAAUUACUUGUCUCUGCAUCAGAACUUAAGGAAAUGUGUGAUUAUUACUUUGAUGGGAAAGGAAAGGCCUUUCGACCGAUGAUUGUGGUGCUAAUGGCUCGGGCUUGCAACAUUCACCAUAAUAAUUCCAAGGAAGUGCAAGCAAGCCAGCGCUCUGUGGCCAUAAUUGCUGAGAUGAUCCACACAGCCAGUCUAGUUCAUGAUGAUGUUAUUGAUGAUGCAAAUUCUCGCAGAGGAAAAAGGACGCUUAAUCAAAUCUGGGGAGAGAGGAAGGCUGUUCUAGCUGGUGACUUCAUCCUCUCAGCUGCUUCUGUAGCUUUAGCACGAAUUGGAAAUACUACUAUCAUCUCUGUUCUAACUCAGGUGAUUGAAGAUCUGGUGCGUGGUGAAUUCCUCCAGUUGGGUUCCAAGGAAAACGAGAAUGAGAGAUUUGCUCACUACCUCGAGAAGACUUUUAAGAAGACCGCGAGUCUUAUAGCAAACAGUUGUAAAGCAGUUUCAAUUCUAGGCUGCCCUGAUCCCAAAGUUCAUGAGAUUGCAUACCAGUAUGGAAAAAAUGUUGGCAUAGCUUUUCAGCUAAUAGAUGAUGUGCUGGAUUUUACAUCGUGUGCCGACCGUCUGGGGAAGCCAACAGCAGCAGAUCUCAAGCUUGGAUUGGCCACAGGCCCUGUCUUGUUUGCUUGUCAACAGUUUCCAGAAAUGAAUGCUAUGAUAAUGAGGAGAUUCAGUAAGCCAGGAGAUGUUGAACGUGCUUGGAAAUAUGUGUUGCAGAGUGAUGGUGUGCAGCAGACAACCUACCUCGCCCAGCGCUACUGCCACGCGGCCACGCGAGAGAUCCGCAAACUGCGGCCGUCCCCCGAGAGAGAAGCCCUCGUCCACCUGACAGAAAUGGUUCUCAUGCGAGACAAGUGAGACAACUCCUUCCACUCGUCCUGGCAGCUACUUACCAGACUGUGCCUACAUUUAUUUCAGAAGUUAUUUGCUUCCAACACAGGCUACCAAAAAUUAUUUUUUUAAAAAAACCUUUUUUUUUUUUUUUUAAACAAAAGUUCAGAGUGUUUUACUGCAGGAAGCAAUGCAAUUCAGAGCAAAUCAGACUGUGCUAUACAAUUGUUUUAAGGAGGGGGCUAUUGAUUGUGGGGGAUGGGGAAGAUGUUUACAUGUUGAUGCACAAAGGCCACAAUGACAAUAAAUAUAAAUCAGUGUAUGAGAACUGAA